UACGAACUGUGCAAACGUUAUUCGGAAUCACUGGGCUUAAAGGGUGCGUAGGCGGCUGUCUAAGCAGGGUGUGAAAGCCCCCGGCUCAACCGGGGAAUUGCGUUCUGAACUGGACGGCUGGAGUGGGAUAGGGGUGUGUGGAACUUCCGGUGGAGCGGUGAAAUGUGUUGAUAUCGGAAGAACACCAGUGGCGAAGGCGACUUACUGGACACAUAUUGACGCUGAGGUGCGAAAGCGUGGGGAGCAAACAGG
rnacentral:rRNA from 1 species